rnacentral:misc_RNA from 1 species
GAAAUGCGAUAAGUAAUGUGAAUUGCAGAAUUCAGUGAAUCAUCGAAUCUUUGAACGCACCUUGCGCUCCUUGGUAUUCCGAGGAGCAUGCCUGUUUGAGUGUCAUGGAAUUCUCAACUUAUAAAUCCUUGUGAUCUAUAAGCUUGGACUUGGAGGCUUGCUGGCCCUUGCGGUCGGCUCCUCUUGAAUGUAUUAGCUUGAUUCCGUACGGAUCGGCUCUCAGUGUGAUAAUUGUCUACGCUGUGACCGUGAAGUGUUUUGGCAAGCUUCUAACCGUCCAUUAGGACAACUUUUUAACAUCUGACCUCAAAUCAGGUAGGACUACCCGCUGAACUUAAGC